AGAAAAAAAAUGGAAAAUUUUACAAUUGCGGAACUGUCAAAUAUGCAUUUUAUCUAUGGCCGAAGUAAUAGAAAUGGACGGAAGCUCGACGAUUGUAUGCUGAGUUGUAUCCAGGACGUAGAGUACUCCAUCACACAAUAUUUGCUCAUCUUCACCAACGUUUGCGUGAAAAUGGUACGUUUUAGAAACAAACGGCUGACUACGGGCGCCCUCGGCCAGUACGAACGGUGCAACUAGAAGAAGCAGUUCUAGAGUUAAUUGCGGAGUCACCUGAAAUAAAUACUCGAAAAAUUGCCAACAUAUUGAAUAAAUUAGCGCCAGAGCUCCUCUACAUUAUGCACAUGAAUGUACAUAAUUAUUUUACCAACGGGUUUCCAGGUCUUAGUGUAGGACGAAGGGGUACGAUUGAGUGGCCUCCACGGUUACCACGGAGCAAAUCUCAUUGAGCUUUAUGUAGGGACACAUAAAAACAACCGAAUAUCAUAAACCACCUGAGAUAUUGGCAUGGAUACACUGCUCGCGACACACUCGCGACACAGCAAAUGUACCAGGGUGUAUGGCAACGGUUUGAAGGAGGCGGUUUAAUCCACGUCUGUUUUUUUAUGGAUCCAGUCUGUGGGGCAAACAUGUUUACUUUGAGAGGCGCAAUUGUCAAAUGAAAAAGUGUUUUUUUUUAUAUUGUCGUCCCUGAUCGGUCACGCAAAGUUGUUUAUUGAAAGAAUG